GUCUAUAUACGUAUAGCAUAUCAAUAAGCGGAGGAAAAGAAACUAACAAGGAUUCCCUUAGUAACGGCGAGUGAAGCGGGAAGAGCUCAAAUUUGAAAUCUUCAAGGUUCUACCUUGACGAAUUGUAGUUUAAAGAAGUGUUUUCUGUUAGAGGAGUAGCAAAAGUUCCUUGGAAUGGGACAUCAUAGAGGGUGAGAAUCCCGUAUUUGGUUAUCUUUUCUAGCUUUGUGAUACACUUUCAAAGAGUCGGAUUGUUUGGGAAUGCAGUCCAAAAUGGGUGGUAAAUUUCAUCUAAAGCUAAAUAUUGGCGAGAGACCGAUAGCGAACAAGUACCGUGAGGGAAAGAUGAAAAGAACUUUGAAAAGAGAGUUAAACAGUACGUGAAAUUGUCAAAAGGGAAGCGUUUGACACCAGUGUUGUUUUUCCGAAAAUCAAUUAAGAGUGGCUUGAUUUUGUGUUGUAUUGACCUUAUCAGCUUUCUUCACUCUUUUUCGAGUCUUUCUUAAUGCACUUUUCGGUUAACAAGUCAACAUCAAUUUCUUUUGUUGUAAAAGGGUAUUUGGAAGGUGGCUUUCUUUUCGGAGAAAGUGUUUAUAGCCUUAUACCUCUACAAUCGGAGAGAUAGAGGUCUGCAGCGUAGAUCCUUCGGGGCUAGAUACACUUGUGCUAAGUUAUAGCCUUUCAUAGACAACUUGUUGACUAUGUUUAGUCAUGUAGCUUACCCGCUUGUGCUAUUUUACCUACGCUUAGGAUGUUGAGUCAUCACACAUCUCU
rnacentral:rRNA from 1 species